CUGAAGGCCUGGGGUUCUGACUGGCCUGGAGGAGGCCUGGUCGUGAAGCCUGAGAUGCUGGAUCCAGGAUGGUUAGCCAGGCACCUGAAGAGCACUGGAGGAGCUUACGUGUAAAAAUGAGCAGUUUGUAAGUGUCCACUUCACAAAACCAGUAUUAAAAGUGACAUCAAGUGGCAUCCCCUUUGGAAUGUUCUCAGAUCUGAAAAGUCAAGGACUGAAUGGAGAUGUAAGGUUCAUCCACUUCUUACUCUUUACAAAGUGUAACUGCUGUGCGUAAACCAAGGACAUUAAUCUUGAAGCUGUCAACCCAGCUUCCUUAUGAGUGUACUCGUGGAAAAAAAAAAUUUAAAAAUCUGUUUUUGCUGAUGUUGUGGUAGUUGAAACCAAAUACAGUGCCUCUCCAAUUUAUUUUUAAAACUAUUUGUACCACAUUUUCCUAUUUUAAUUCUCAGUGGGGAAACAGAAUAUUAUCCAUUAUCUAUUAUUUUUGUCUCGGUAUAUUCAGCAAAUUUUAUUUUGGGUAUUUCAAGACACAGCCUUCCCUUAGUUUUUUUGGUUGUACUCAUUGAGCCUUGCAUUUAUUAAAGUUGCAGAUAGUUUUGCUUGUAAGUAUUUAUCCCUUCCAUCUCCUUUAGAAUUCUUACUACCUAAAUGAGCUAAUUUCUUGAUCCCUUCUAAUCCAAGAAAUACAAGAUUGUAGUCAAUUCUGCCCACAACUAUACCCUCAUUUGAAGUCAGUAGGAUGAUUAAAAUGUAAGUAAGGACAGAAUUUGGCUCUAGUCCUGUGAAUUUUGGAAUAGAGGAACCUAAGAGGUACCCUCAUGAGGUAUAAAACUUUGUAAUAUUCAUGAGCUCUUACUACUUAUAUGCAAGCAAGUAUGCAGGGGUGUGUGUGUGUGUGUGUGUGUCUAUGUAUACAAAGUAGGAGCUCAUAAGCCCUACCUUUUUACAUAAGAAUUAAGUUUCUGUGGGACUGGAGGUCUUUGCAAACAGGGUACAAAUAAAUUUUCUUCAUAAACCUUUGUGUGGGGAAACUGUUUGACCUUUGUUUCAGGUAAACCCCACAGGACCUACUUGUUGCACGUUUUCUUGUUGGUGGAUGGUGUGAAAAAUCCAGGGUUUAAAAAAAUGCACAUAGAUUUAAAUGCCAGAGCUCAUUUCACUUCCAUCUCCCCAGAAAGAAACUAAGCCAGGUUCUGGAAGUGAAAAAUCAGAGACAGAACCACAACUAU